CCUACGGGAGGCUGCAGUGGGGAAUAUUGGACAAUGGGCGAAAGCCUGAUCCAGCCAUGCCGCGUGUGUGAAGAAGGCCUUCGGGUUGUAAAGCACUUUCAGUGGGGAAGAAAGCCUUGGGGCUAAUACCCUCGAGGAAGGACAUCACCCACAGAAAAAGCACCGGCUAACUCCGUGCCAGCAGCCGCGGUAAUACGGAGGGUGCGAGCGUUAAUCGGAAUUACUGGGCGUAAAGCGCGCGUAGGCGGUCUGAUAAGCCGGUUGUGAAAGCCCCGGGCUCAACCUGGGAACGGCAUCCGGAACUGUCAGGCUAGAGUGCAGGAGAGGAAGGUAGAAUUCCCGGUGUAGCGGUGAAAUGCGUAGAGAUCGGGAGGAAUACCAGUGGCGAAGGCGGCCUUCUGGACUGACACUGACGCUGAGGUGCGAAAGCGUGGGUAGCAAACAGGAUUAGAUACCCCUGUAGUC
rnacentral:rRNA from 1 species